CUUUUCCCCUAGCUGGGUCGUAACAUAAAGACUGCCCACAUACAGUGGCUGGGAAGACAAAUUGUCAUGACUGCUUUAUAUAUGGACGCCAGAAACAAACAUGGCAGCAGUGAACUGAAAGCUGGCUCUGUGAGCAGUCCACAGUCAGUAAGUGAAAUACUCGAGUCAUCUACUGAAAUGAGCAUGGUAACCUGCCAGCACCGACCUGUCCUGUGUUGUAAUACCACUUUGUGACACUAGACGCUGUGUGAGUCCGUGGAGCGUCAAGUCUGCCCUCAGUCCCACGAAGAAGAACAACUUCCGGCAGCGCUUGAAGUUAGCGUCACAGAGACACAGGAAUGGCUGAACCUCCUAAAAGGCGAUAUUCAUCUGUAUCCCGAUGGACCGCUCCCGACAAGAAACCACGUUCAACGGCAAAGAAAAGAAGCAACACGAGUAAAUCUCGAUGUGGCUUUCCACCGCUGGAGAAGCUGCUGAGAGGAAAGAGAUGCGGUUUGAUGCCGAGCUCGCAACUUUCCUGUUAGCCAGGGCCUUAAUUCCAGUCUAAUCAUCACCAAUGAUGGACCAGCACCUGCCUCUUCUUCUGCAUCUGGCCUCAUCAAUCAACAACCACAUUACAGUUACACCUUGAGAAUCCACCUCGGGCUGGAACCACACCUUGCCGUCGCUGAAACCAGCAAGAAAUGGUGACAAAGAAGCUGCUGGUGCUGCUUCUGAAACAGUUGCCUGGGUUACCGAUGUUGGUGUGUUGGCUUUCCAGGAUGGCGGCCAGAUUGACGACGCUGCAUCUUCGAGGUUGAUCCUCGGAGGAGCCUGUUGUCUCGUUGAGGCAUAGCGGUCCGAGCUGGAGGGGAAGCUCAGGAUGCUCGGCCUGACUGUUGCCAAGGUGAUCCAGAGGAUCUCCUGGAGGAGUGGAGGCUCCACUGUUGGAGGAGGACACAUGGGGCAGAGGAGACGGUCCUCCUCAUCCAGGAUCUCCACGUCACCCUGGACGUCUCUUUGCUGGAUUCUCUCUGUAUCCAGGACACAAGGAGACACAGAGGAGCCACCUCGAUGCAUUCAGGACCCAGCAGGUGUGCAAACUGGCCAGUGUUAGCCGCCUGGUGGAGGCCGUUUGCAACCAGCUCUGCGUCUUCACCCAGUGGCCAUGUGGUCCAGAGGGACCGUGAGGACUGGUCAUUCAUUCUCCAGGAUUAUGUGGCCAUCAGAGAGGCAGUGCUGGCCGGCCCCAGGUUGAUGGCUCAGACCAACAUCCAGCUCUUUGAAUUGAAUUGAGGACUCAGUGGUGCUGGCCAGACUCUCCCUUCAGCAGAGGGUCUGUCCUUGGUCCAGGUGGGACAAGGACAGUCCUCUAACUUCAAUGUCCUGGAGGAGCAGCCUGGAUCCUCCAGCAGGGGUCAGCCUCCUCCUCUUCCUUCAAACGAUCAACAGCAUGGCCCCUCAUCAAGGGCUGUUGGACCCCCCCUCGCUCCAGCACCACUCCCCUCUUCUGUUCAUCCACCUCUCCUGCCUGGACUACCUGUACCCAGGACCAGAGCCUACAGGAAGAGGAAGGUGACCUGAAGCUGCUGUGGCAGAGCGGGGGCCGCUGCUCAUACAUCUGUGUCCAACCCAGAAGGAUUGACACUGACCUCACUCACAUUGCAGGUGUGUCACACUGUGUGACUGUUGGUGGAAAGACUGUGGAGGGAAGAGAAGACAGGAGGACAACUUCUUCUAUCUUCAUUUGUAACUUUUAAUUGACCUUAUUUAUAAUUAUUAUAUUUCAUUUGUUGCAGUUGGAGUGGUGUUUGUCACCUGACGUCUCAUGAUGAUCUCAGUCCAGUGUUCCCUCUCUUUUAGCUCUGUGUUUGGUCUCCACCAGCUCCUGAGGGAAAUCUGUCUCUUUAGCUUCUUAUUGCUCCACUAUGUUCAGCAGCUGCUCUCGGACCGAGUCUCUGCUGUUUGCUGCUGAGGAGGUCGUGGACAGUGGUUAUGGCCGAAAAAGUGUGUAGUAUGUAGUAAAGUGUGUGUUUGUGUGUGUGUAUGUAUGUAUACACACAAAGAAAGAUGACAGACGUUAACUGAAUCAUUAUUUUACUGCACAGUUCUUUUUUUUCUUUUAAUUAUAUUCUUAAAUUGCAUUCAUGAUGGCCUUAAAGGUCUUAAAAACUCUUACAUUUCAGCUGUUGAAACCUCUACACCAGAAAUAUGGAAAGUUAAAAUGAGUGCAGUGCAAAGACUGGACAUUGAGUGUUUCCCUGGUUAAAAAGGGUUGUAAAUAGUUUAAUUAAUUUGUAAUGUGUGCUUUCUUUUAUUCUUGCACCCCACAUCAUGUGCUGUGGUACAGUGGAUGGAUGGGCAUUGGUUGAGAAAACUAAGGUCAUCACAUGACUCACUGUCACAGGGUGAGGAGCCCUGGAGAGAGAUCAGUUUCACCUGUAACUGAAGUUCUAUUAGUAAGUUAUAUGAUAAGUUUAUAUAGAUAAGUCGCUACAGUGACUCACCAUCGCCUCUUGAGGAACAAAGUUGUAUUACAAGAUGAGACGGACUGUUCAGGACAUCUAGCAGCAGUUACACAGUGAACCUUUCUAAGACAGUCUGCAGUCACUUAUUUGUGUCCCAUUAACCCAAUCACCAUUCUGUUCAAAGGAAAGCAUUUUAUUAAGUGUUGCUGUAUAUUGAGUAAACUUUAAAUAAAGGGCUGAUUUGUUUUUA